rnacentral:tRNA from 1 species
GCGGGUGUAACUCAAUGGUAGAGUGUCAGCUUCCCAAGCUGAAAGUUGCGGGUUCGAUCCCCGUCACCCGCUCCA